AGGAUUUUCAGGACUCGCUCUG
rnacentral:miRNA from 1 species